CGGGUCCGAACCCUAGCCGCCGCAGUGGGUCACCGGCACGACCCCCGCACCUCCGACGGGCAACGGCAACAAGGAUCGCUCUACGCGGGCCUUCAUCAGCGCCAGCUUCACCACCGGGACCUGCAGCCUCCUCCUCCGGCGUUCAUCUGCAUCAGGGCAGCUAAGAGGGCAUGGGCCUCGACCUCCACGGAUGGUGGCCAGAUCGAGCGGAGCUUCCCUUCCUCUGCCUGGCGGGGCAAGGACAAGGACAAGCAGCAACAUCAUCGCAUCAUCAAGCAAAGCAGCCUCAUCCUCUUCAUGCUGGCUCGACUGCCUCUGAUUCUUCCUGUUUGCUGCCUUGCCUUGCAGAUGCGGCAGCUCAAGGGCGAGGUCGACAUCUUCUCCAGGGCCGACGGGUCGGCGCUGUUCGAGAUGGGCAACACCAGGGUCAUCGCCGCCGUCUACGGCCCCUGA
rnacentral:rRNA from 1 species